AGAGUUUGAUCAUGGCUCAGAUUGAACGCUGGCGGUAUGCUUAACACAUGCAAGUCGAACGGUAGCAGGCCUUCGGGCGCUGACGAGUGGCGGACGGGUGAGUAACGCGUAGGAAUCUGCCUCAUAGUGGGGGACAACGUGGGGAAACUCACGCUAAUACCGCAUACGCCCUACGGGGGAAAGCGGGGGCUCUUCGGACCUCGCGCUAUGAGAUGAGCCUGCGUUAGAUUAGCUAGUUGGUGGGGUAAAGGCCUACCAAGGCGACGAUCUAUAGCUGGUCUGAGAGGACGAUCAGCCACACUGGGACUGAGACACGGCCCAGACUCCUACGGGAAGCAGCAGUGGGGAAUAUUGGACAAUGGGCGCAAGCCUGAUCCAGCAAUACCGCGUGUGUGAAGAAGGCCCUAGGGUUGUAAAGCACUUUCAAUUGGGAGGAAAACCUGCCGGUUAAUACCCGGUAGCUUGACAUUACCAAUAGAAGAAGCACCGGCUAACUCCGCGCCAGCAGCCGCGGUAAUACGGAGGGUGCGAGCGUUAAUCGGAAUUACUGGGCGUAAAGCGUGCGUAGGUGGUUCGUUAAGUCAGAUGUGAAAGCCCCGGGCUUAACCUGGGAACGGCAUUUGAAACUGGCGGACUAGAGUUGAGUAGAGGGGAGUGGAAUUUCAGGUGUAGCGGUGAAAUGCGUAGAUAUCUGAAGGAACACCAGUGGCGAAGGCGACUCCCUGGACUCAAACUGACGCUGAGGUACGAAAGCGUGGGUAGCAAACAGGAUUAGAUACCCUGGUAGUCCACGCUGUAAACGAUGUCAACUAGCCGUUGGUUCUAUAUACAGAAUUAGUGGCGCAGCUAACGCAUUAAGUUGACCGCCUGGGGAGUACGGCCGCAAGGUUAAAACUCAAAUGAAUUGACGG
rnacentral:rRNA from 1 species